UUGUACCUGUAACGAAUAAGGCUCAAUGGGGAUGGAGCCAAAGCCCAUGCCCAAGCCCAAACCCAACCAAUUGCAGUAUAAUGUGAAAAAGAACAAUGGAGAGCCUGUCGGAAAGUGAUCCAGACUCAUGGGAAGAGUGAGAAACAGUUGAAGAGCAAGAGACUCCGAGAUGAACUGGACGAGAAGUUGGCUGGCGUUGCCUUGCGAAGAAGCUCAAUAAGUCCACGCCAGAGGUUUCGAAAAUCAGUUCAUCAAGAUAUUUCCAGCAUGUGGGGUUUCAAGAAAGAAUGCUGGAAUUGGUAUCCACCUACAUAGAGAUUUUAUUGCACAGAUCUAGUUGCAGAUACGAAAAUGAAUAAGAAUACAAGAAAGGUGGUUUAUGGGUAGUGUUUGAAGAUCAAUUGUUGUCUUGGGAGGCACAUGUUCCUGAAUUAAAGCAGGGCAAGAAAUAGAAUUCUGUGUCAAUGCCAUUUCCUAGUCCGUCAGAGAUUUUAAAGCCUGAAACUCCAGAAGUGUUUCUUCGCUUGAGGCACCCUAUUGUUGCUCUUGUAACUCAUGCAGAAGGUAAUGAGCUUUUCAGGGUACGCAAGCCUUGUUGGUCGAUAAACAACUCAAUUUAUGCAGAGGUCAAUGAAAGUUUGCAAUGGUUGAAAACCCUGGCUUCUGGAUUUGGAUAUUUACUUUGAAAGACAUUGAUGGAAAUGUGCUGGCUGAGAUAGAUAGUGACUGGAGAAGUUUUGGCUUUCAGGUUUCUCACUUUCAAUUUCAUCACAUGAUUUUCUAUCAUUGUUUUUAUCUCGAGUACAAAAUGAAAAUGUACCAGUCUAAUGUAUUGUCAUUACAACUUUUUACUGAUGCUGGUCAAUACGUGAUUCGCUUUGGAAGUACUAAUCCCAGCUUAAAGGAUGGAGCUGCUGAAGUGGUAGGUUGUCAUACCGAUGAAUAUUUCGUUUUCUACCAAUGAAGCAAAUAAUACAAACCAACUAUUUCUGUAUUAUCUAUUAAACAAAAUCAGCAAGAUAUCAAUUUCCAUCCGGACACUAAACAUCUAAUAAAGUGAUAAUUUUUAAAACUAAUAUACUCUUUUACUUAUUCCUCUUUCUUUUUUUUUUUUGAAAGUCAUAAUGGAGUUUAAAUGAUUCGACACAACACAAUGGUAAAGUGUAUUUUAAGUUCAAAUGUCUUCCAAGACAAAUUUUUAUUUUUUUAAAUAUAAGACUAUAUAUAAAUUUACACAAAUGAAAUUUUCCCAAGGCUAAAGCCCACUUCUUUUCUGAUUAUUUCUCUGUGCCAUAGUUCUCAGCGGUGGAAAAUGGUAAGCCUCUCUCUCUCUCUCUCUCUCUCACUUAAUUCGAGUCGUCCCUCUGUGGUACACCUCCACUUUUUGCUAUACAUAUGCAUAUGUAUAUUUUAGCAUCUCAGAAGCAUUUUGACAAACAUUAACGGGGCAUGGGGAGACUUUUCUUUAGUGUCUGGAAAUUGCUAUUUUGCUGAUUUCGUUUCGUUUUGUUCGAUUGGUAGUAGUGCUCUGUUUAGAGUUUGAUCUUCUUCGACUAUGUAUUGUUGUUAGUACUUUCAGUUACACUUGUGCUGCUUUUACAGACACU